UUCAAAUCUAAAAAGUAAGGAACUUAAUAUUAUAUCAAUUGCACUUGACUUUCACGCAGGAUCACAAACCAAACUUUGAAUUUUGCAAAUGGCAAUCUUUUGGUAGUAAAAGAGUAUACGGGCUUCAAAACAAUGGAUUAAUACACAAAUAAGAAUCAAUCAAACUUGAUCAUGAAAGGCAUCACUGAAACUAUAGAUUGAAGAGAAUAGGUAAUCAUCAAUAUUUACAAAUAUCAUGAUGGGCUAUGGGAGCAUCAUUGGACCUGUGAUUAGAUCUGCGCAUCCUUUUCUGUAUUACUCCUAAUAUAGCAGCCUCGGAUCUGUUCAUAGUUUUUGGGGCCUAAUGGGAUCCAAAAUUAGAUAGCUGUGCUCUGAAUCAGGGCCUCCUCCCACAGCUUGUCAUGGCAUACAAAAAGAUCACUCCACUAUUCCAAUCUCAAAGUUUGUCCAGAAAAACAAGAAGCUCCUCCCUCUGAAAAUGCAUCUCUCAAACACUGAUUGCAGGGUUGCUCCAACAGUAGGGAUCAUCUUCCUUUCACAAUCAUCUCAAAGCAGAAAUACUCAUUGCUGAUCCGAACUUUGUAUGUUUAUUAAAUGUUCUUCAAGACUCUUAACAGAAUCUUCGUUAAUGUACCAUGUCACAGUUCCUAAAGGAGGAGGUGGUUCCUUUUCCCUUGUUGCAUGAAGUAUGAUUGUGCCUGACAGUACAGUGAUGAAUCCACAUAAUUCGGAGGUUAUGCUGCUCACAUUUUGGCCUGACCAAUCCUUAAACAUUAUGGCACUAGCGAUGAUAGUUAGAGUUGUAAACAUUACAUAAUAUACUGGAGAAACAAUUGCUGCAUUGAAUGUAUCCAAAGCCUUGUUGAGGUAAUUUAAUUGCGUAAUGACACAAAUUACUGCAACUGUAAGGAAAAACCAAGUCUGUGGGUAGGCUAUCUGACUUGUCCCUUCCAAUGUAAGCUUUAUUGCAAUUCCAAUGGCCUUUAUGCUUACAACCGUAAUUGAACCAAUUAAAGAACAAAUUCCCAAGUAAACCAAUAUGUUCGUUUGUCCACAGCGAGGUUCAAAGUGCAAAAUCAAAGCUAACACCACUGAAAGUGAAGCUGCUACAUAUAUUAAAAAUGCUGGUUGGGUUGCAAAAGUCCAAAUUUCUUGUACAGAAUUAGGAGUAUGUUCUUGAGGUGCAUGGAUUACAAUCACUACCGAUCCAACAAUGCAGGAAACACAUCCAACGACACCCAUUUUCUGCAGCCGUUCCCUCAACAUGAAGUGUGCCAAAAUUGCACUGAUAAUUAUACUGAGUGCACCUAGGGGAGUCACCAAAACUGCAGGAGCAUAAACAUAAGCCACAAAAUUUGCAAUUUCUCCAACAAACAUUGUCACCAUGCCAGCCCACCAUAGUGGCUCCAGUAAGUAUAACCCCCAACU
rnacentral:misc_RNA from 1 species